AUUGAACGCUGGCGGCAGGCCUAACACAUGCAAGUCGAGCGAGCGGCGAACGGGGGAGUGAUGUAUGGGGAUCUGCCUGGUGGAGGGGGAUAACUACUGGAAACGGUAUCUAAUACCGCAUACCAUCAGCUGAGCCCGUAUGGGAUUAGCUAGUGGCUGGGGUAACGGCUUACCUAGGCGACGAUCCCUAGCUGGUCUGAGAGGAUGAUCAGCCACACUGGGACUGAGACACGGCCCAGACUCCUACGGGAGGCAGCAGUGGGGAAUAUUGCACAAUGGGCGCAAGCCUGAUGCAGCCAUGCCGCGUGUAUGAAGAAGGCCUUCGGGUUGUAAAGUACUUUCAUUCGGGAGGCGUUAACGAAAGAGAAAGCACCGGCUAACUCCGUGCCAGCCGCCGCGGUAAUUC
rnacentral:rRNA from 1 species